GAUGAACGCUAGCGGCAGGCUUAACACAUGCAAGUCGAGGGGUAUAGUUCUUCGGAGCUAGAGACCGGCGCACGGGUGCGUAACGCGUAUGCAAUCUACCUUUUGCAGAGGGAUAGCCCAGAGAAAUUUGGAUUAAUACCUCAUGGUAUGUGAGAAUGGCAUCAUUUUCACAUUAAAGUCACAACGGCAAAAGAUGAGCAUGCGUCCCAUUAGCGAGUUGGUAAGGUAACGGCUUACCAAGGCAACGAUGGGUAGGGGUACUGAGAGGUAGAUCCCCCACACAGGUACUGAGACACGGACCGGACUCCUACGAGAGGCAGCAGUGAUGAAUAUUGGACGAUGGGCGCAAGCCUGAACCAGCCAUGCCGCGUGCAGGAUGACGGUCCUAUGGAUUGUAAACUGCUUUUGUACAGGAAGAAACACUGGUUCGUGAACCAGCUUGACGGUACUGUAAGAAUAAGGAUCGGCUAACUCCGUGCCAGCCGCCGCCGUAACAC
rnacentral:rRNA from 1 species